AUUGAACGCUGGCGGCAGGCUUAACACAUGCAAGUCGAACGAGUGGCGGACGGGUGAGUAAUGCUUGGGAAUCUAGGUUAUGGAGGGGGAUAACUACGGGAAACUGUAGCUAAUACCGCGUACCAUAGGAUGAGCCCAAGGGGGAUUAGGUAGUUGGUGAGGUAAAGGCUCACCAAGCCGACGAUCUCUAGCUGGUCUGAGAGGAUGACCAGCAACACUGGGACUGAGACACGGCCCAGACUCCGACGGGAGGCAGCAGUGGGGAAUUGUGGACAAUGGGCGCAAGCCUGAUCCAGCCAUGCCGCGUGUCUGAAGAAGGCCUUCGGGUUGUAAAGGACUUUUGUCAGGGAAGCGGUACCUGAAGAAUAAGCACCGGCUAACUACGUGCCAGCAGCCGCGGUAAUAC
rnacentral:rRNA from 1 species